ACAACAUUAAACACCAUGGGUAUUCUCCCCAGGAAUGUUUCUAAAGAUAAGGGAUCAGGAGCCUGCAGGAUGUCCAAGAGAAGGUGCAUUGUCUCCAGUACCCGUGCUGCAGUAUCCCCCCACCCUCUCUCAAAACCCAGUUCUUGUAAUUUAUAUUCAAAUUCAGAAUAUGGUGAAUCAGGUGGAAGCUUAGAAAUAUAUUCUU
rnacentral:misc_RNA from 1 species